UACGGAAGGGGCUAGCGUUGUUCGGAAUCACUGGGCGUAAAGCGCGCGUAGGCGGCCGGUCGAGUGAGGCGUGAAAGUCCUGGGCUCAACCCGGGGACGGCGCUUCAGACUGUCCGGCUGGAGUCCGGGAGAGGGUGGUGGAAUUCCGAGUGUAGAGGUGAAAUUCGUAGAUAUUCGGAGGAACACCGGUGGCGAAGGCGGCCACCUGGCCCGGUACUGACGCUCAAGCGCGAAAGCGUGGGGAGCAAACAGG
rnacentral:rRNA from 1 species